UGGCAGCCACGUUAACUUUUAACGGACCAAUGGAUGAAAAAUGUAAUGGAUGUAUUAUAUUGAAAUAAAAUAGUACGUGAGGUAUGAAAGUGAAACUUUUUGAAGAUAUUGUAUGAGGUUGCAAUAAACCUCAAACCUGAGAUGGUAAAGUAUAAUUUACCCUUAGUCUUUUAUUUUUUUGGACAAAGACUAUUAGUCAUUUAAUUCAUCAAAAUGUGCAUAUAUGAUAAUUUUCGUUAACUCCGUCAGAACUUUCGUUAAAUAGGUCAUGGUGGAAUGACUAUUGCUACAAUUGAAUUGAAAUUGAGGGACUAUUUCUCCAAUUGGAUUAUAAUUAAGGGAUGGUUGCUAUAAUUGAGUUAAAGCUUAGGGAUCAUUACUACAAUUUUUUUAUUUUGUUUUUCAUACUUGUCUCUUAGCCUCACGUGUGUGGCACGUGACUCAUUUUGACUAAAAUUUUGAUGGACUUGACAAAAAGGACUAUAAAUGUACAUUUUGAUGCAUUAAGAACUAUUAGUUACGAAUUUUUAGUUGAAGGACUUUAGCUCCAAUUCAGUCAAAAUUGAGAGACCGUUGUUGUAGUUACUCUAUAAUUCUGGAAGGAACCGGAUCCCCUCCUGUGCAUUGUAAACUGAGCAGCAAAGGAUCUGAGUCGUUGAAAUUUGAUCCAACCACUACAUGUAUUAUAACUUUUAGAGGGGCCCCUUGUUUGUAGCCAUUGGAUCAAAUUUCAACUGUCUGGAUCCUUUGCUUAGGAGACUCAGUUUACAAGGCUCAAGAGAAGGGAAAUGGUUCCAUUCUGGAAUGAGGGAGGGAGAGGUGUUUAUGAGAGCAGUUCCACCGUGGGCAAUAGCUCGAUGAACUGGCUCUCAAACAGGGCCAGAUAGCACAAGGAAGGUGGUCCACCGUGUGCUGGCGAGGGAGCUCGAGCGACCCUGAGGGAGAGGCCCGACAUAAGUAGCCGGCCCGAGAGCCCGAAGGCCAUAUAACACAAGGCUGACGUCUGGGUGACGUCAACCAUGUUUUAUAUAUUUUUUUGUGUCAGUGGCGUGCAUCAUCCGACAAAGUUUCAGAGCUAUGGCCCGCAACGCAUUUCAGAAUUGUUACCGUUAAGGAUGCCAUAUGGCUUCCCCACGUCCAUUGGAUUUCAACGGCAACAAUUUUUGGAC
rnacentral:lncRNA from 1 species